GUCUCCUGGCCUGCAAGCGGGCAGGGUGCUUUUACUUUAGUCUUUGGCUCAGAAUCCCCUCUGGUGAACUCACCACCACUGCACUGUAAAUCAACGUCGUGAUCCUGUAUUGCUGUAACCCAAUCGUUCUUACGUUGACUUUACUCUGCCAGCUUCGGGAGUCAGUCCUGAUCUUGUACGUGGUUUGGGUUAUAACAAUGGCAAAGCCCCCUGAUGCUUUUGUAACUUCCUCUAAAAGGGAAAUGAUGGACAGAGAAGAAAAUGUGGUGGCUGGAGUGUUGUUUUUUUUUUUAAAUAAAUUGC
rnacentral:lncRNA from 1 species